AAAUGGUUCACUACCAUUUACCUGUCAACCUCUCAAGCUCACUGACUUUGUGUAACUUUCAACUCAGUCUUGUUUUUUUCUCCUCACAUCCAAUCUGUCUCCAAAUCCUGCGACUCACUCCUUAAAAAUAUUGCCCAUAUUUGCCCCUUUCUAACUCAACAUUCAACAAAGUCCAUGUGUUAAUCAUUUCCCAACUUAACUAUUGCAACACACUGCCCAUCAGCCUUCCAAACACAUGCCUUUGAGGGCUUCCCCAUUCCUGUAGAAUUCCCUAACACAUGCUAUUUGAUUCUCCUCUAGCUUCCAGUCCUUGAAAACCCAACUCUUUAAGAAAACCUACAAUCUUCUUGAGUGACUCUUCUCUCAUUACAAUUUCCCUCUUCACCUACCUCGUUUGUUUCCAUAGCCAAGUUUACUCUUUCUC